UACGUAGGGUGCGAGCGUUGUCCGGAAUUAUUGGGCGUAAAGGGCUCGUAGGCGGUCUGUCACGUCGGGAGUGAAAACUCGGGGCUUAACCCCGAGCCUGCUUCCGAUACGGGCAGACUAGAGGUAUGCAGGGGAGGACGGAAUUCCUGGUGUAGCGGUGAAAUGCGCAGAUAUCAGGAGGAACACCGGUGGCGAAGGCGGUUCUCUGGGCAUUACCUGACGCUGAGGAGCGAAAGUGUGGGGAGCGAACAGG
rnacentral:rRNA from 1 species